UAGGGAAUCUUCGGCAAUGGACGAAAGUCUGACCGAGCAACGCCGCGUGAGUGAAGAAGGUUUUCGGAUCGUAAAACUCUGUUGUUAGAGAAGAACAAGGACGUUAGUAACUGAACGUCCCCUGACGGUAUCUAACCAGAAAGCCACGGCUAACUACGUGCCAGCAGCCGCGGUAAUACGUAGGUGGCAAGCGUUGUCCGGAUUUAUUGGGCGUAAAGCGAGCGCAGGCGGUUUCUUAAGUCUGAUGUGAAAGCCCCCGGCUCAACCGGGGAGGGUCAUUGGAAACUGGGAGACGUGAGUGCAGAAGAGGAGAGUGGAAUUCCAUGUGUAGCGGUGAAAUGCGUAGAUAGAUGGAGGAACACCAGUGGCGAAGGCGGCUCUCUGGUCUGUAACUGACGCUGAGGCUCGAAAGCGUGGGGAGCAAACAGG
rnacentral:rRNA from 1 species